rnacentral:rRNA from 1 species
GUUGUAUGGUUAAGUGACUAAGCGUACACGGUGGAUGCCUUGGCAGUUGGAGGCGAUGAAGGACGUACUAACUUGCGAUAAGCCUAGUCAAGCCAGUAAGAGGCGCUUGAGACUAGGAUUUCCGAAUGGGGAAACCCACCUGCUUUGCAGGUAUCGUUAACUGAAUACAUAGGUUAACGAGGCGAACGCGGAGAACUGAAACAUCUAAGUACCCGUAGGAAAAGAAAUCAACCGAGAUUCCGAAAGUAGCGGCGAGCGAAAUCGGAGCAGCCCUUAAGCUUUAAUGUAGUUAGUGGAAUAUGCUGGAAAGCAUGACGAAACAGGGUGAUAGUCCCGUACACGACAACUUAUUUAAAGUGAAAUCGAGUAGGUCGGAGCACGUGAAACUUUGACUGAAUAUGGGGGGACCAUCCUCCAAGGCUAAAUACUCCCAACUGACCGAUAGUGAACCAGUACCGUGAGGGAAAGGCGAAAAGAACCCCUGUGAGGGGAGUGAAAUAGAACCUGAAACCGUGUACGUACAAGCAGUAGGAGCCCACCACCAAAUACCUUUGUUGGGGUUCUUUAACAUCGACCUGCUUUAGCAGCCGAUGGUAAAAGACAUCUCGAAGAAAUAGAACCUUGGUGGUUCAAAUAGCAGAGCUAUUUGGGGUGGGUGACUGCGUACCUUUUGUAUAAUGGGUCAGCGACUUAUAUUCUGUAGCGAGGUUAACCAUUUAGGGGAGCCGUAGCGAAAGCGAGUCUUAACUGGGCGCUUAAGUUGCAGGGUAUAGACCCGAAACCCGGUGAUCUAGCCAUGGGCAGGUUGAAGGUUGAGUAACAUCAACUGGAGGACCGAACCCACUAACGUUGAAAAGUUAGGGGAUGACCUGUGGCUAGGAGUGAAAGGCUAAUCAAACCGGGAGAUAGCUGGUUCUCCCCGAAAUCUAUUUAGGUAGAGCCUCGGACGAAUACUUACGGGGGUAGAGCACUGUUAAGGCUAGGGGGUCAUCCCGACUUACCAACCCUUUGCAAACUCCGAAUACCGUAAAGUAAUAUCCGGGAGACACACGGCGGGUGCUAACGUCCGUCGUGGAGAGGGAAACAACCCAGACCGUCAGCUAAGGUCCCAAAGUGUAUGUUAAGUGGGAAACGAUGUGGGAAGGCUAAAACAGCUAGGAGGUUGGCUUAGAAGCAGCCACCCUUUAAAGAAAGCGUAAUAGCUCACUAGUCGAGUCGGCCUGCGCGGAAGAUGUAACGGGGCUAAACAUACCACCGAAGCUACGGCUGCAGGCUUUGUCUGCGGGGUAGGGGAGCGUUCUGUAAGUGGCUGAAGGUGUGCCGGGAGGCAUGCUGGACAUAUCAGAAGUGCGAAUGCUGACAUGAGUAACGACAAGAGGAGUGAAAAACUCCUCCGCCGGAAGACCAAGGGUUCCUAUCCCAUGUUAAUCAGGGUAGGGUGAGUCGACCCCUAAGGCGAGGCUGAAGAGCGUAGUCGAUGGGAAACGGGUUAAUAUUCCCGUACUCGGUAUGAAUGCGAUGGGGGGACGGAGCAGGCUAGGCAAGCAUGGCGUUGGUUGUCCAUGUGAAAGGCUGUAGGCUGGUGACUUAGGAAAAUCCGGGUUGCCAAGGCUGAGAGUCGAGACGAGCCACUAAGGUGGUGAAGUUGUUGAUGCCCUACUUCCAGGAAAAGCCUCUAAGCUUCAGUUCAUACUGAAUCGUACCCUAAACCGACACAGGUGGUCAGGUAGAGAAUACUAAGGCGCUUGAGAGAACUCGGGUGAAGGAACUAGGCAAAAUUGUACCGUAACUUCGGGAGAAGGUACGCUCUUGUUUGUGAAAGACUUGCUCUGUAAGCAAACGAGAGCCGCAGUGACCAGGUGGCUGGGACUGUUUAUUAAAAACACAGCACUGUGCAAAAUCGUAAGAUGACGUAUACGGUGUGACACCUGCCCGGUGCCGGAAGGUUAAUUGAUGGGGUUAGCUUAGGCGAAGCUCUUGAUCGAAGCCCCGGUAAACGGCGGCCGUAACUAUAACGGUCCUAAGGUAGCGAAAUUCCUUGUCGGGUAAGUUCCGACCUGCACGAAUGGUGUAACCAUGGCCACGCUGUCUCCACCCGAGACUCAGUGAAAUUGAAAUCGCAGUGAAGAUGCUGUGUACCCGCGGCUAGACGGAAAGACCCCGUGAACCUUUACUACAGCUUGGCACUGAACAUUGACCCUACAUGUGUAGGAUAGGUGGGAGGCUUUGAAGCGCAGACGCUAGUUUGUGUGGAGCCGACCUUGAAAUACCACCCUUGUAGUGUUGAUGUUCUAACUUAGGCCCCUGAAUCGGGGUUGAGGACAGUGCCUGGUGGGUAGUUUGACUGGGGCGGUCUCCUCCCAAAGAGUAACGGAGGAGCACGAAGGUUUGCUAAGUACGGUCGGACAUCGUACGGUUAGUGUAAUGGUAGAAGCAAGCUUAACUGCGAGACAGACACGUCGAGCAGGUACGAAAGUAGGUCAUAGUGAUCCGGUGGUUCUGAAUGGAAGGGCCAUCGCUCAACGGAUAAAAGGUACUCCGGGGAUAACAGGCUGAUACCGCCCAAGAGUUCAUAUCGACGGCGGUGUUUGGCACCUCGAUGUCGGCUCAUCACAUCCUGGGGCUGAAGUCGGUCCCAAGGGUAUGGCUGUUCGCCAUUUAAAGUGGUACGCGAGCUGGGUUUAGAACGUCGUGAGACAGUUCGGUCCCUAUCUGCCGUGGGCGUUUGAGAAUUGAGAGGGGCUGCUCCUAGUACGAGAGGACCGGAGUGGACGAACCGCUGGUGUUCGGGUUGUGAUGCCAAUUGCAUUGCCCGGUAGCUACGUUCGGAAUCGAUAACCGCUGAAAGCAUCUAAGCGGGAAGCGAGCCUCGAGAUGAGUUCUCACUUUGACUUAGAGUCAACUGAAGGGCCGUUGAAGACUACAACGUUGAUAGGCGAGAUGUGGAAGUGCUGUGAGGCAUUAAGCUAACUCGUACUAAUUACCCGUGAGGCUUAACCAUACAACGCCAAAGUGGUUU